rnacentral:rRNA from 1 species
CCCCUAGAUGUUCUGGGCCGCACGCGCGCUACACUGAACAGUUCAACAAGUCUUAACCUUGGCCGAUAGGUCUGGGUAAUCUUUGAACGCUGUUCGUGAUUGGGAUAGACCUUUGCAAUUAUGGGUCUUCAACGAGGAAUUCCUAGUAAACGCAAGUCAUCAGCUUGCAUUGAUUACGUCCCUGCCCUUUGUACACACCGCCCGUCGCACCUACCGAUUGAAUGGUCCGGUGAAACCUCCGGAUUGGCGCGUGCCCUCGGGCGCCGCCGAGAAGUUGGUUAAACCUUACCAUUUAGAGGAAGGUGAAGUCGUAACA